UCAAUGAUGAAACAUCCAAGCAACAUAGAGUCAAGCUCUGAUAAAAAAAAAUAGUUGUUUUUUUUUACUUGGUAUUCACUGUCUGGAAAGAUGGCAGGUUUAUCAAUGUUGAAGAGAAUUGCAAAUUAUUUCUGAAAU